rnacentral:rRNA from 1 species
AUGAAAGAAAGGAAAAAGGUGGGCGAGCGGGAAGGACCGGGGCGUCGCCCACGACGCAGACGAGACCGGCGGCGGCUUAUGGUGGCGCGGUCGAUGAGGACCUGCUGGAUCUCGCCGGAUCUGGUGGGAUGGCGCGCAGAUCUCUCUCCGAUCCUUUCCCAGAUCUUCUCCUGCUACCUAGGGUUCCCCACCGCAGGCGCACCUCGGCAGCCAUCGAGGCGACCACUGCCGCCUGCAGGCGGAACGAGGCGGAGGAGAACCUCCUGGUACGACGUGAGGAGGAGACGUACGGAUGAACUUAAAGAUCAGGAGAGACAUACUGGCCGGGACAAUCUUUAA